GCCUCUCGGGGCGACCCGGCCAAGGGCCCAGGCCAGCGGCGGCCGCCGCUCUGUCGCCACAGACGGGAAGAAGUUGUCGGAGAGAAGGGGACCUGGGAAAGGGGAUCUCAGUGCGGAGAGAGUUUUGGAAAAGAAUGUUGAAAUUGCCCGAUCCGUAGGGCACUAUGGGAAAGGUUUUUCGGCGCAGCCCAGCGGCUGGACUGCAACUCCCAGGAUGCCCCUGGACGACCGAGAGAGGCGGCUGCGGUGGCCUCCUCGGCCACGAAGGUGGUUAGUGGAGUGGUGCAUUUGUGGGGAUUCAGUUAUUUAAACACAUCCGGUAAAGAAACUGCCAGGAACCAGGGUUUCCACCCUGCUGCAUGUCCCACCCUUCUGGAGCCAUCUUAUUUGCGACUUGACCUCCCUGCACAGGGAUUCUGGGGAUUGUGGUUUCCGAACGGAUCGAGACUGACACCUGAAGGACGCGGCUUAGCCGCUUAGCCCCUAGCUGGUCCUGCGGGGCUUACCGACGUCACCUGGGCAGAGGUGGAAGACCGGAGGUGAUCGGGAAAUUUUUGCUGGCAGUUGGUGCCAGGCCACACCCGAAAGCCAACCCUAACAUAAAUAAACCCAGAGCCCUUCCUCCUCCAACUUCAAAAGCCGCGUUUGCUCACAGGUGUUAUUGAGGACCGGCUCACGGGUCAGCUCUGAGCUAGGCGCUGUGAGAACGCUUAAUAAGACCGUGUCUUUUCAGGAAGUCUACAGGCGAGACUCAAACUGAGAAACUUAAAGGGUGUGUGUGCGGGGCAAAUCGUAGGGUACCAGGAGACCCAAACCCCAAACUUUGGGGCUCGUCUGUCGGUGACCCUUAAUUCUUCCACCUUUUCUGAUGCUGUGGCUGUGCUGACCUUUGUUAAGCCACUCCCACACGAACUCUAGGCUGACCUUCUGCUAUUUGUUUUCACUUCAAGAUUCCCCUUUUGAUGUUUAUUUUAUCCUGAUACCGCCGGAGUGCCGAGAGUGGAGGUGGACGAUGUGAUUUGCAACUGCAAAAUGCAGAAGAUUUGGGACCCCUCUUGGAACCUCUGCCAUCCCUAGAUUUCCUGUUAGAUGAUGCUGAAGAGACGUUUCUUCUCCACAUGGAAGGAAUAAGAUGAAGAGGAAUAGAGAAAAGAAUGAACCUUAGUAACGGAAGAUGGAAGCCCAAGAUGGAGUGAUAGAAUGUGAAAAAGCCCAGAGCUGCUCCAGGGUCCUAAGAGAAGAAUAGAGGAGGGACAAAGAUAAUGGAUUUGAUAAUGACUCUGAAGGUUGGCCAGUCCUGGAGAAAAUUGGGAAGUAGGCUAGGUGCCUUUAAGGAACUCUCCUGCCCAUGCUCUUUUCUUCUUUGGAAUAUCUUAUUCCCUGUGGCCCCUCCCCGCCAAAGACUUGCCUCAACAUCAGGUUGCCUGGGCCCUCAUGAUGCCCUGGAAUGGUACCUCAUCUGAUUCACUCAUCUCAGGUGAUGCCUAAACUCUGAAUUUGCCUGGAUUUCUACAGUGCAUGCCCUUGGGGCUUGGAUUUCUACCAGGUGACAGGAAAGCUGAGAAACUUACACAAUUUAUGUGAUCCCUUCCCCCUCAGAUGUUAUCAAAGGAGUCUUCUCGGGAGAAAGCUGGAAUUAAAAACAGCUGUUUUAAUGGUGGAAAGUCUGGCUGGGAGAUGUUCUCAUGGGAACACAGGGCUGUGUGUCUAGCUGGGUCUGGCACAGCUCAACAGUUUCUGCAUUUCAUUGCAGAUGUUUGGUUUGGAAUGUCCCUUGGCUAUUUGGCUUCUGGAGUCCUCUCUCACCAUGGAACUCCUCUGUGGGAGGACAGAACUCAUCAAUCACAUUCCCCAAAUGUCAAGCUCCUGCUGUGUGACCCCAGGAGAACCUUGCUUUUCAUCUACAUAACAGAAGCAAGGACUUCACAUUUGCUGGAUAAAAGCUUGAACUGUUGGGCAAAGGGCCUCCUUGAUGGUUAGAAUUCCCAAAGAAGGCUAUAAAUUGCAAUAUAAAGGUCACCCCCAUCCCCUGGAUGUUUGUCAUUUCACCCUUCCUUCUUCUCUUUCCUACAGUCUCUUAAGAGAUUCUUAGAGGAUGUAAUUCACUAACCAUAAACAAAAUUAUAUUUAACUUUCUCAGUUAGAUGCUGUUUCAGCUAUGUGAAGCCAGAACCCGAGAUCCCUGGAAGAGGUCACAGAAUCAUUCAGGUUCAGACUUGUAGAAUUACUUGUACUUUCCAGAACCUGCCACAUUUUCCUUUAAUUCUAAUACUUUAGACCUGCUGCUCCCUUCCAAAAUAACUAAACAAACUAGGGAAUAUUUCCAGAGAAUGUAAUUCUAAUUAGAAUUUGCUUCAUAUCCUCAAGGCUUGGCCCUGAGGGAUAGGAGAAAGGGAAACUGGCAAUACUAACUGUAAUCUCUGCCUUUAAGGAGUUUUCCAUCUUUUUGAGGAUGGUACUAGUGUUGGUCACCUCCCUGCACCGCGUCAGACCCUCUCAAGCCCCAACUCCCUCUCCAGCAGUGCCCUGGUGACCACUUUGAUUCAAGCCCCUCCAGUUGCACGUGUUCAAAGGCUCAUGGGUGAAAGAGUAUAGCGCAUGCAUGGAAAUCCACGGAACAUCCAGAAUCAAGAAAUCAAGGGUAGCUGAAACAAAGUGCAUUCAUGUGGAAAGGAGCAGAGGCAGUGAGGGGAAGGGAUGAGGCUGGAAGGCUCUUGACAGGAGCCAGCUCUUGAAGGACUUUCCGAUUAUUCAAAAGAAUGUAUCCUGAUGGCAAGGAGCAGCCAAAGGGUCAUUGUGAAGAUCAAAUAAAAUAUAUGACAGGAGGAGCUUCAAGAUGGCGGAAGAGAAAGACGCGGAGAUCACCUUCCUCUCCACAAAUACAUCAGAAAUACAUCUACGUGUGGAACAGCUCCUAUAGAACACCUACUGAACGCUGGCAGAAGACCUCAGACAUCCCAAAAGGCAAGAAACCCCCCACGUACCUGGGUAGGGCAAAAGAAAAAAGAAAAAACAGAGACAAAGGAAUAGGGACGGGACCUGCACCAGUGGGAGGGAGCUGUGAAGGAGGAAAGGUUUCCACACACUAGAAGCCCCUUCGCGGGCGGAGACUGCGGGUGGCGGAGGGGGAAGCUUCGGAGCCGCGGAGGAGAGCGCAGCCACAGGGUGCGGAGGGCAAAGCGGAGAGAUUCCCGCACAGAGGAUCGGUGCCGACCAGCACUCACCAGCCCGAGAGGCUUGUCUGCUCACCCUCCGGGGCAGGCGGGGGGCUGGGAGCUGAGGCUCGGUUUGGGUUUCGGUCGGAAGC